AAGACUACAGGUUUCUCCAUGGAGCAGCACAGAGGGUGAACAAAGGCAGAAAAGCUGUUCAAUACACAAGAAAAUAACACACACACUGUUUCCACGGUAUCUCACGGCAGACAUAACUUCCUAAGCCCACCCACAUCUGCACAGGAACAAAAUUGGAGCUGAAGAAGCAAAAGAGUAAGCUGCACCCUUCUUAUUUCUGGUCUCUAGAGCUGGGAUUCUUGACUAACGAUGGAAGGGGAAGCAGUGAGAUAUGAAAUGGAUAUGAGAUUAAAGUUUCCAGCAGGACUGAAUUUUAAUAACUGAAAGGACUGGAAAGUGAUGCAGUCUACUCAAGAUAUUAAGAUAUGGAAAAUAGAGAUUUAACAGAGCAUAAUUAAAAGCAGAGUUUGGAGAAAAUUAAA
rnacentral:lncRNA from 1 species